UUGCGACCAUGUCACGUUGAAACACCUGUUCUCAUACAAUCACCGAAGUUAAGCAACGUUUAACCUGGUCAGUACAUAGAUGGGUGACCGUUGGUGAAUACCAGUGGUG